rnacentral:rRNA from 14 species
AGGUACGCCGGGGAUAACAGGCUAAUGACUCUUAAGAGUUCCUAUCGACGGAGUCGUUUGGCACCUCGAUGUCGGCUCAUCACAUCCCAGAGCUGAAGAAGGUUCUAAGGGUUCGGCUGUUCGCCGAUUAAAGUGGUACGUGAGCUGGGUUUAGAACGUUGUGAAACAGUUUGGUCCCUAUCUGCCGUAGACGUUAGAAAAUUGAAAGAGGCUGACCCUAGUACGAGAGGACCGGGUUGAACAUACCACUGGUGGACCGGUUGUAGCGCCAGCUGCAGUGCCGGGUAGCUAAGUAUGGACGAGAUAACUGCUGAAAGCAUCUAAG